rnacentral:rRNA from 1 species
UACGAAGGGGGCUAGCGUUGUUCGGAAUUACUGGGCGUAAAGCGCGCGCAGGCGGCUAUCCAAGUCAGUGGUGAAAGCCCGGAGCUCAACUCCGGAACUGCCAUUGAAACUGUUUAGCUUGAGGAUGAGAGAGGUGAGUGGAAUUCCCAGUGUAGAGGUGAAAAUUCGUAGAUAUUGGGAAGAACACCGGUGGCGAAGGCGGUCUGCUGGGCAGUUGCUGACGCUGAUGCGCGACAGCGUGGGGGAGCAAAC